rnacentral:tRNA from 1 species
GGUAGGAUACUCAAGUGGCCAACGAGGGGAGACUGUAAAUCUCCUGGCUAACGCCUUCUCUGGUUCGAAUCCAGAUCCUACCACCA